UUGUGCAAGCCCGAACAAUAUUUUGCAGGCCCAAAAUGUUUAUUUUCUAAUUUGAUCUCUUGUUAUUUGCUGAUUCUACUCUAUAGACACAUGCACAGUUCUUUUACUGUAGGAAAAUACAGGUCAAGAUGAUCAUAGUUAAAGAACAACUGACAUUAAAAGGAUUAUAUUAUUUUUCAACAUAUUAAUCCAGUAUAUGCGAAAGUUUUUGGACCACACAGGACAUUCGGUCCAGUGUAAUCAAUGAACACACCGGACCGAACCAAAUUUUGUCAGACCGAAAAACCUAAUGUAAAAAAGUGAAACACGUGAAAAUGCAAAACCAAGGGAAUCUUAUUUAUUAUACUAGUAAUACUAUUCCAGGAAUCCUUCCCGUAUAAUACUUUAGACAGUCCAUGCGGUUUUAAUCAAUUCAUUUACGUAUUUGGAUGUGUGCUAUUUUUUUUACUUAUAACAAACUCCGCAUCAAGAUAGUAAAGCUCAAAACCGGACAUUGAGACAUCUGACAUUCCGGUCCGGUGUAAAAAAUGAUGCAUCGGACCUGAGGCACUGCACAUCGGUCAGGUCCGACGGUCCGAUGUCUUUCGCAUAGACUGAUUAAUCUCGCAGAUACAUCAGCAGCUCAUGUUCAACUCUGUUUUGUAUACACCACGUACAAAACAUUUUUUAAAUGUUAGCCAAGGCCUACCCUCGCAGUGUUCGAAAUUGGUUUAAAACUUGGUAUAGACCACAGGUCUAUGCCAAAAUAAGAUGACUUAGACGUACCUCAUCGAAUUGGCAUAAACCACAACAUUGAAAAAAUAAUAACACAAAUUUAAAACAUUUUCAUUUACUUCUAAUAUACUUAGAAAGUGUAUUUUCUUUCCAUUUCUGUAAUAUCAUCCUUUCCUCAUAAUGUUUAUCAGACGUCGACUGACCAUGCAAGGCCCUCUUGGAUAACUUUAUUGCUUUAAAUCUAGAAAAUUGGCAUAGACAAUUUGGUCUAUCUCAAUUACAGUUGGCAUAGACCAGUGCCAUUUGACAUAUACUCGGUCUAUGGUUAAUUUUGAACACUGCCCUCGGUCCAAUGGGGCAUGAAUUUUUGUUUUUUUCUCCUCGUACGACAGUUUUUUUGGGUUUUUUUUAUCGGAUGGUUGUGAUUGUGAAAUACGCUUGGGUGGUUUUGAAUUUCCCGGACGAGCCCCCUCCCUAUACUUCAGAAAAGGCAGCAUGGUUGAUAAUUUUUCUAUGCGAAAUUUGACUACUAAGUCAUGACAUUUAGUCUGAGUCAAUCUCACGCUUUAUUUGUAAUAUAUACAGAACAUAUAAGAAAACAUUUACAGGCCCAUCGGACUCCAGGGUUUAAUAUUUUAAGAAGCCCGAUCCCGAUUUUACUGGCCUCGGGCAUCAGGCCACUGGUUAAUGUCGAAGACUGUGUUACCACUGAGCUACCAUGACCAAUUUUUAUACGCCCAUCUUAAGACGGGACGUAUUAUGGUAUGGCGUGUCUGUCCGUCCGUCUGUUAGCUUUUUCGUGUCCGACCCGUAACUUAAAUACUACAAGGCCUAGAAUCAUCAAACUUUGUCUGUAGAUACAUCUUGGGUAGAAGGUGUGUCGCACGGUAAAACCAGGUCACUGUGACUUUUCAUUAAGAAGAUAUGGCCAUAUAUGGCAAAAACUUGUCCGGCUCAUAACUUGAAAACUAUUAGACCUAGAAUCACCAAAAUUGGUCAACUAAUGCAUCUUAGGUAGAAGGUGUGUCGCAUCCUACUUUAAGGUCACUGUGACAUUUAAUUAAGAUGAUAUAAAAAAAAAAUGUUUUAAUGGGUACUAUCUAUACUGUUAACAAUAUGUGACGGACGUAUCAUGUGCCAUGGCGGUGCACUUUAUUUAACAUGAAUUCAUAGCUAAAAAAAAAUUUAUUACUAAUUUUUUGGUUAAUUCCAUAAAUAUAUUAUUCCGCUCUCUAGACACAAUUCUGGGUUACCCCCCUGCCUUUGGGGGUAUAAGCACCUCAUUUCUUUCAGAAUGUCAGGAGAGCUUUUGUUAUUUGUUAUACUCUUAAUGUUGAUGGCAUGCAUCUAUGAACAACAGGAUAAUUUUUUAGAUUAUUAUUUCUGAUAUCAUAUUUGUAAAUUGUUUAUGAGGGGUUGUUAAAAGUUUGUGGACAAAAGGACGCACUUAUUAAAAAUUCAGAGUUAUCGUAAGUGAAAAAUAUAGGAGAUGUGUAACAAGAUUGUAUAUUUGAAGAUUUUAAUUUUAAUUAAUUUUUAUAAGUAUUGAUUUCAGAUACAUGUAUGACAUUGCAUGCUUGGGGGGGGGGGGGGGGGGGGGGGGGCUACAGUUAGAUAAUAUUCUGGUCAGCACAUUUGAUAAACUACAUGGAAUUCAUUAAAUCACUUCUUUUUCUUUCAGUGGUCUUCAACUUUUAAUCUCCAAGAAGGAAAUGUAAUUAAAAGAUGAAUAAAGUAUCCCUAAGAAUACCAGAAGAAAGGCUAUGUGUUGAGAAAAACAGCCCUUCCUCAGUACCUCAGAACUAGAUGAUAGCCCUUAAUUGUUACUUUAUGCUGAAUAUGACACAGUAUAGAAGAUCUGAUCAUGAAGAAGUAACACCAUUGAUACACUUGCCAACUGCCAAAAUUACUUUCUGAUAGUAUGACGAGAUUAGAAGAUAUCAUGGUGUAGUCAUGACACAAACUGCAAAUCAAAGAAUUAAUUGUCUUCCCCAGAGGAUGAACAGAGCACGAUGGCUUCACAUGGAUAACAUUUCCUUUCGAGUUUUGAAAUUAAUUUGUCAGAAUGUUAUGCAUCGUUAUCAACAGAAAAGAACUUCAUAGGUAGACCAAAGCUGACAUGGGAUGAGAUCCUAGAACAAGACCUAGAGUUUACAGGAUUGGAUAGGAUCAAUCCACUGGGUCUCCAAGUGUGGAAGUACAAACUUCAACCUUGACAGGACAGCCAGGCCUCACCCUUGCAAAAAGAUUAAUUUGGCCUGGAUAGUCAAAAUGAGUGAUGAUGAUUGAUAUCAAGGUCUGACACUGGAAGCUCAGUAAGGGUAGAUACUGGCAACGGAGCUGUUUAGCAAUAAAACAAACAAGUUUAACAUUAAACAUGUUUGUAUACUUUUUUGGCUCACCUGAGCCAAAGGCUCAAGUGAGCUUUUCUGAUCACCUUUGCCUGUCGUCUGUCUGUUUAUAAACUUUUCACAUUUUCAUUUUCUUCUCCAGAGUGAACCACUGGGCCAGUUUCAAUCAAACUUGGUAUGCAUCAUCAAUAGAUAAAAGGUAUUCAAGUUUGUUCAUAUAAAGGGUCAUGCACCCUUCAAAAAGGAAAUAAUCAUGGAAAUGCAAAAAUAGGGUGGGGUCAUUUAAAAAACCUUUUCAAGAACCACUGGACCAGGAAAGUUGAAUUCACACGAAAGGUUCCUGUUUUGUGCAAAUCAUGGUCUCUGGGGGUAGGGUGGGGUCACAAUAGAGAAUCAAAGUUUUACAUUCAUAUAUAGUGCAUAUUCAAGUUUGUAAAAAGCUCACAGGGGUAGGGUGGGGGUCACAAUAGGGGAUUUAAGUUUUACAUGUGAAAUAUAUACAAGGAAAAUCUUUUAAAAUCUUCUCCUCAAAAACUAGAUGCAGAACCGUAGCUCUUUGAAAAGAGAGCUUCAGAUGAACCCCUUAUAAAAAAAACUUCUUAUGGCAGAGAAAAAAAGUGCAUGUUUAAGUCCCUCUAUCACUGCAUUCCUGCAUCGCUGUCUCAUGAAUUUAAUAUUAAAUAAUUCCCAACAUAUUUUCCCACUAUACUUGUUUCCAAACAUACUUACAAAUAUUUUCUAAACCCACAUAUAACCCCAAAACAGCUUCAAGUGAUUUCAAUUUCUUUGUUGAUGUAGCCAUGUUAAGUAGCCAGUCAAUUUGAACCCCAGUUCAUUUCCAUACUCAUACUCAUUUUGAAACAUAAUGUCUGUGUGAACUAAUAUCCUCACAAAUAUUUUUAGUGAAAUAUUUUGGAUGAAAUCAUCCCAGUUGGGUUAAAUACUUAUUAUUCAAAUACUGUAGGUUUGAAUAUUGAACUAAUCUCACAGCUUUCUUAAGUUUGGUCCCCAUCCCCACCAGUCUGUUUUUACGCUUAACUAUUGAAAUGGGGUGUAAGGGAUCAGACUAGGCUUUUAUAGCAUUAUCAAUUUUCAAAAGCUUUAGAAAAAUUAUACAAUUUUAGGUCACUUGAGUAAACUCAGAUGACAUAUUGCUAUUGAUCUGCAUCUGUUGUAGUCCGUUGACAUUAACAAUUGAACAUUUUUAACUAAAUUCUAUAACUGAAAGAUGAAGAUACCGCACAGCGAUCAAUCUACGAUUCAAAUAACGGAAUUCUUUUCAAAUUUAGUAUGAAGCACACAAAUUUACAUUAAACCUUCUUGACAUAGUGCAUAUUCAAGUUUGUUAAAAUCAUUUCGCCGGGAGUUAUGGUGUGGUAACAAUAGGGGGUCAAAGUUUUAUAUGCUAGCUGAUAUAAAGGAAAAUUCUUUAAAGAUAUCUCUUGAACUAUUUAAGUUAGGGCUUUCAUAUCUUGUAUAUACAAUUUUUAUGGCAAAACAAAUCUGACCUAUUCAGUAUGUCCUGAACUACAUUGUGUUUAAGGUAGAUCUUUCAUAUAUAUUAUAUAUUAUGAAUUUCUUAUGAUAAAACCUUUCAUCUUGUUGAGGAGCCUCUCACCUCUGGUUGGCGCGGGUUUGAAUCCUGCUCGCACCGGUAAUUGAGAAAGUUUCCCAGUUUACUCUCGGAAGGUCGGUGGUCUCUUCCCAGGUACAUUGUAUCUGGGUUCUCUCUUCCACCAAUAAAAACUGGGCACCACCAGAUAACUGAAAAAUUGUUGAGUGUGGCGGAAAACAGUUAAAACAAUCAAUCAUAUUAUGUUAUUUGACCUUGUGACCCUGAAUUCUGAGUUUGACAUACUUUUAAGAAAGUAUAACAUAUUAAGUAUAUCCAGGACUAUUUUAGAUAGGGCUUUUAUGUUUUGUAUAUUGAUUACUUAUGGCAAGGUCUUUCAUAUCAUACCAAGACCUACGACUUUUUACCUUGGUCUUAUCCAGAACAGCAAUAGCAUGCUAGUCAUAUCUUUGUCUUAUAUGAUUUCAUUUUAGUAAUGUUGUGUUCUUUAGAGCUAGGUUUGGGUCACAUUAUUCAUGAGAAUAAAGAUUGAUAAAAUAGCAUUUAAAAAUCAAAACAGCAGGGCCAAGAUGACUCAGGUGAGCGAUGUGGCCCAUGGGCCUCUUGUUGAUUUUGAUAUUUCUACCUAUAUCAUUUGUAUGAGAAAUGGAACUCCUUUUUUUCUUUUACAAAUACAUGUAUUAUCAUAUGGAUCCAUCUUUGUUGAUUAUUUAAUCAAAGGACAUAUUCAAUUCAUUCAAUGUAUUAAAUGUAAAUUUAUGGAUAUGUCUGUGGUUAAAUUACUUAUGUAUGUAUGUAUACAUUUUUCUCGCACAUGCAAUUACAUAUAUGAUGUAUAUAUAUUUACUAAUUGUACAUGUAAUAUCCCCUGUUAUAUAAUAAAAUAUAUGACUGAGAAUAAAA